GAUGAACGCUGGCGGCGUGCCUAAUACAUGCAAGUCGAGCGAACGGACGAAGCUUGCUUCUCUGAUGUUAGCGGCGGACGGGUGAGUAACACGUGGAUAACCUACCUAUAAGACUGGGGUAACUUCGGGAAACCGGAGCUAAUACCGGAUAAUAUUUUGAACCGCAUGGUUCAAAAGUGAAAGACGGUCUUGCUGUCACUUAUAGAUGGAUCCGCGCUGCAUUAGCUAGUUGGUAAGGUAACGGCUUACCAAGGCAACGAUGCAUAGCCGACCUGAGAGGGUGAUCGGCCACACUGGAACUGAGACACGGUCCAGACUCCUACGGGAGGCAGCAGUAGGGAAUCUUCCGCAAUGGGCGAAAGCCUGACGGAGCAACGCCGCGUGAGUGAUGAAGGUCUUCGGAUCGUAAAACUCUGUUAUUAGGGAAGAACAUAUGUGUAAGUAACUGUGCACAUCUUGACGGUACCUAAUCAGAAAGCCACGGCUAACUACGUG
rnacentral:rRNA from 1 species